rnacentral:rRNA from 1 species
GUACCUGCAAAAAAAGCACCGGCUAACUACGUGCCACCAGCCGCGGUAAUACGUAGGGUGCAAGCGUUGUCCGGAAUUAUUGGGCGUAAAGAGCUCGUAGGCGGUUUGUCGCGUCUGCUGUGAAAACCCGAGGCUCAACCUCGGGCCUGCAGUGGGUACGGGCAGACUAGAGUGCGGUAGGGGAGAAUGGAAUUCCUGGUGUAGCGGUGGAAUGCGCAGAUAUCAGGAGGAACACCGAUGGCGAAGGCAGUUCUCUGGGCCGUUACUGACGCUGAGGAGCGAAAGCGUGGGGAGCGAACAGGAUUAGAUACCCUGGUAGUCCACGCCGUAAACGUUGGGAACUAGAUGUGGGGACCUUUCCACGGUCUCCGUGUCGCAGCUAACGCAUUAAGUUCCCCGCCUGGGGAGUACGGCCGCAAGGCUAAAACUCAAAGGAAUUGACGGGGGCCCGCACAAGCGGCGGAGCAUGCGGAUUAAUUCGAUGCAACGCGAAGAACCUUACCAAGGCUUGACAUAUACCGGAAACUUCCAGAAAUGGUUGCCCCGCAAGGUCGGUAUACAGGUGGUGCAUGGUUGUCGUCAGCUCGUGUCGUGAGAUGUUGGGUUAAGUCCCGCAACGAGCGCAACCCUCGUUCUAUGUUGCCAGCACGUCAUGGUGGGAACUCAUAGGAGACUGCCGG